GUCUUGGUAGCUCAGAUGGCAGAGCACUGAAUUAUUGAUCCAGAUUUUGUGGGUUCAAGUCCCACCCAAGACA